GCCUCUGCUCCCCAAGUGCUGGGAUUAAAGGUGUGCGCCACCACUGCCCGGCCAUAAGAUCUUAUUUUUAAACAACAAAAAAUGAAUAGUUCUAGCAGUUGAGGUCUGAAGGGUUUGUGGAAAUACAUUGCCUGGCCAUGUAGGAAGAUGCUGGGUGGUCUCAAAUGUGCCCAUAUCAGGGUCUCUGGUAGCUUCUGUGGAGAGAGGAUUGGAUAGUAGUGAGCUGAUGGCUCAGAUGACGUGACCCCAGGCCUCAGCGUCCUUGCCAGAUCUUCCAAGGUGUCACAGGCUCUUCUCUGUCAUCCGGUGCAUCGGGGUGGUGUUAUGAGGAGGGCAGGAAUAGGCGGGUUAUUUAAAAGGCAAGGCCUGGGGCAGAUGGAUAGGUCAAACACAGGCUGGGACACUUGAGGGGCUAUGUCAGUAGGGUGCAGCUCAGGAGGUUCAUGAAACAUAAAGGUCAGGAGACCAUGGUCUUCAGAGAGAACAUGAUAGCUAAGGCCAGAGUCACACUCCGGAAGCAGGAAACCCUGAAAUUUGGCAAGUAACAUUCGUUCAGGCGUGUGGUGGGGUCUGCUCUGAUGUGGUGUCAUGGCUGAGGUCUCAGGAGCGACUGAGUGACUAAUAGUGAGUGGCUGGGUUUCCCCGUGGAACCAGAGGAGCUGGGCUAGGCACAUGUAAGUAGAAUAUGGCAAGCAAAAGGUGCAGGGGUGGUAGAUAGAGCUCCCUGGCUUGGUCAGCCCCCAGCAUCACAGGAAAUGGGAGGGGGGCAAGUGGAGCUAAGUCUCACAGAUAGAGGGACUGAAGUGCCAUGACUGAAACCAGCCCAAAAGCUUGUGGUCAGGUGACUCCUACACAGUUCUGGUAGUGCACAGGUAGGUGAUUUGGGGUCUCACACCUAGUGGGAAUCAAGGGGUGGAGAGUGCAUGCAUCUAGAAAGCACUGAAGCCAGGUCCUUACAGGUGUGUACACUGAAGCCAGGUCCUUACAGGUGUGUACAGUACAGCUGGCAGACGAGGUUGCUUCCUGGCCUCCCUGGCCUCCCUGGCCUCCCGGGUAAGAUAUGGAAGAGGCUGCUGAGGUCAGACCGGUGCUCGGACACCAAGUCUGCCGGACUUGGCUAAGCGCAGUGAGAGUACAUCCGGUAACCUCGUCCGUGGAACCGGUAAAGAGAUGGUUGAUGUGAGGCACCGCUGUUAGUAAAUCCUCUCUCAGGUCAGUUUGGCCGAGUAAAGUAGACAGAGCCAAUCUGUCAGGUGAGGCCUCGGAGCCAAAGAAGAAUUGGUCUUUGAGGUGCUGUGUGAGGAAAUGAAGGUGAGUGGAGUCAAUGUCUGAGGAGAGAGCUAGGGACUUAAGGUGUGGCGUGAGUGGGCAUCUCUGCAUUUUCCAGGUAUGGUCAUGCCCAGUGUGUGAGACUUCACCUGGUUAAAGUUGAAAUGUGGCCAGGCACGAGAACAUGGAGGUCAGUCUCUAGGGUAAGGCUUGUGGAACCUUUGCCUGGCAUGAGGUUGGGUUUUUGGGUAUGUCAAUCUGGAGUGAGAUUAGCAGGUGAGGAUCCAUGGAGGCUCGAGUUCACAAAACUGCCUGUGCAUGAAGUCAUAGUCAAACCUGGGGAAGAAAGUACAUUAGGGCAGGUAGGUGGAGCUGGCCGGUUGGAUGGACAGAGUGUGUGCAUUCAGGGUCAGGUAGAUAUGAAGAACUGAAAGCCCAGGAUCACAUACAGGUAAAGCAGAACUAGCCCAUCUGGAGUGUGGUCUGGUGAGGUGAGGCAUGUUUUUCUGGCCUUCUGGGUAUGGUCUGAAGAGCCAUGGUCAACAUCAUGUUCCACAGCCCUGGCUCACCAAGGACAUGCAGGGGAGCCAGGUGCAGAGUAUAUCAGUAGGCAGAGCUGAUCUCCAGAAGAUACAUCCAAACAGAUAACAGAUAUGUGGUUUAGCACCUCUCCUUUACAGCUAGUGGCGUUCUAUUCCUGUGUCAGCCUGAGAGGCUUGAGAAAGAAAGUUGCUCCUGUUCUUUCCUUUGAGUUUUUAGUCUCUGUUGUAAAAGGCUACUCCUGGCUGGGCAGUGGUAGUGUAUGCCUUGAAUCCCAGCACUUGAGGGUCAGAGACAGGUGGAUUUUCUGGGUUCAAGGCCAGCCUGGUCUACAGAGUGAGUUCCAGGACAGCCAGGGCUAUACAGAGAAAUCCUGUCUCGAAAAACCAUAAAAAUAAAAUAAAAUAAAAAAAUAAAAGGUUACUCUUGCCACAGGACUCUUGUAUAUACCACUCAGGUGCUUCUCUGGAUGAGUGUUUAUUCAGAUCCAAGGUAGACAUGGGUAAGAGGCUCAAGGUCUGUGAGUGUGUGAGGAGACGGAGGAGGCACAGGUAUGAGGCUCUGGGUCUGUCAGUGUCUGAGGAGACAAGGGAGACACGGGUCUGAGGCUCGGGGUCUGUUAGUGUCUGAGGAGACAGAAUGGGUGCAGGUCUGAGGCUCUGAGUCUGUCAGUGUGUGAGGAGACAUGGUAGGUAAAGUAUUAGUCUCUGUGUCUAAUCUGGACCAGUGGCCUCAGAUCUGGGUGUGUCAGUGACCAAGAAGACAUGGUAGGUAUGGGCCUGGGGUUCUGGAUCUGUCAGUUUAUGAGGAGACAGGAUAGGUAGAGGUAUGAGCACUGGUCUGUCAGUGUCUGAGGGAGAUGGUAAGUACAGGUGUGAGGCUUGGGGUCUGUCAGUGACCAAAGAGACAGGGUAAGUAUGAGAAUGAGGUUCUGGGUCUGUCUAUAACUUAGGAGACAGUUUAGACAUAGGUAUGAAUUAGUGAGUCUGUCCUUGAUCAAAGAGACAGGGAAGACACAGGUAUGAGGCUCUGGGUCUGUUAGUGUCUGAGGAGACAGGGGAGGCACAGGUAUGAGGCUCUGGAUCUGUCAGUGUCUGAGGAGACAGGGGAGGCACAGGUAUGAGGCUCUGGAUCUGUCAGUGUCUCAGGAGACAGGGGAGGCACAGGUAUGAGGCUCUGGGUCUGUCAGUGUCUGAGGAGACAGGGGAGGCACAGGUCUGAGGCUCUGGAUCUGUCAGUGUCUCAGGAGACAGGGGAGGAACAGGUAUGAGGCUCUGGGUCUGUCAGUGUCUGAGGAGACGGGAGGCACAGGUAUGAGGCUCUGGGUCUGUCAGUGUCUGAGGAGACAGGGGAGGCACAGGUAUGAGGCUCUGGAUCUGUCAGUGUCUGAGGGGAUAGGUCCUGGGUCUCUCAGUGUUUCAAAGGUAAGUUCAGUAGAAGUAUGAGUGCUUGAGGAGAUGAGGUGUGGCACAGGUAUGAGGAACUAAAUUUACCAUCAGUGUCUGUAGGCAUCAGCAGUAAGGUAGGCACAGGUAUAAAGUUCUUAAGUUGUGUCUGAGGUAUGUGUUGUGCACGGGUAUGAGGGCUUGGUCUGCCAGCAUCUGAGGGGAUGGGAUUGUGAACAGGCAUGAAGGUCUAUGUAGGUUGGCAUCUGAGGAAAAAGGUUUAGCACAGAUCGGGAGCUCUUUCCGUCAGCACCGAGGAGGUAGGAACAACCACAGGUCAUGGGGAGGCAGCUGAAGCACACAGGUAUGAAGCCCUGGCUUUGUCAACACUGAGAAGGCAAAGCUGUCUGCCAGUGCUGAAGAGACAGGAGCUGACGGAUGGCAGAGGUUUAAGGCCUUUGGUCGGCCAGGAAGAAAAGGCCAACCAUGGUAACUUCUCUACUCUAUGGCUGUAGCUUUGAUUGGUCCCAUGUAGAGGGU